UCCCUGUAGGUAAAGGAGACAAAGGGACAAGGAAGGAGAGAGAGAAUGAUGAGUUCUUGUGUCUAGAACCAGCCUAGAGUAGGUAGAUCUCCAAGACAUCCACUCUUACCAAAAAUAGGUCUUGCCUAUGCUAAUGACAAUCAUAAAAAAGCAUGAAAGAACCCAGAAGUGUUUACCUGGAGGGAGGGAAAGAAUUUGGAUUGGGUUUAUGUUCUGGUCACCUCACUAGGAAGGAUCCUCAACACUUUCCACCAUCUAAACAGCACAUCUUAAAUCAGUGAACCCUUAACCUGACUAUACUUUCAAGUCACAAGGAGGACUAAGCCUGGAUCCCACACCAAAUCAAUUAAAUCAGAAUGUCUAGAGAGAAGUCCCAGGCAUCAGUAUGUUUUUAAAACUCUAGAGAAUUCUAAUGUGUGUCUAGGAUUGACAAGCAGUGUUCAAAUAGCAAUUUUACCAAGUAGCAAGUGUGUUAAAUUUCUCAUGACAGAGCAAAACAAAGAUUUUGCAAAGCAUUUCAUGCUUUCAUUUCUCCUUGUAGCUCAUGUAAAUUGCAUUUUGAGCGCGGAAUGGCCUAGGUCUUGUAGUAUGCUUGUAGACUGUUUCUCAAGUCUGUCUUUUCCUUCAGGUGAAAGGAUUGUCACAUGGUCUAUGUGAGAAUUGCUACCUGUGAGACAAGAUGGCCCAAGGAUACCUUGGGAUAAGCAAGCUUGUGUGUAGUAUUGAGUCAUUCCAGGGUCAUGAAAGAUGUAGCCACUGCCAUCCAGAUGCUUAUAGUCCAGCAGCUAGAUUCUAGCUGGCCCAAGAAGGCAAAAAAUAAAAGAGCUGAGAGCAUUAGAAAACUGCUAAAAGUGGAGAGGUAGACUAGAGAACCUAUGGUAUUAAAACUUUCACCUUGAUUCAAUCAGGAGGCAGCAGAGAACUGUUACCAGUUUUUUAGUAGAAAAGCAUUUAAAAGUGACAUCCACAGCAGGUUACUAUGGCCAAUGGAGUGUAGCUGGGGUGAAAAAGUGACUAAUCUUCUUAGGACACCAAACUUAGUGACAAGGAGUUCAGGUGUCCAGUGGCUUCAAAGAGGAGAAGAAUGAUUAGAAAAUUAGGAAGAGGCCAGGUUUUUAAUAGUAAGAAGGAGACAAAAAAGGAGAAGAGUUACAGAGGGCGUCAGAGUAUUUCUGUAUAUGUGUGUGUUUUUCUAAAAUAGGAAAAAUAUGUGCAGGUGUGAAGGUCAAGGAGAAUGAGGAGGUUUUAAUAGGAGAGAUUGAUUUUCAGAAGUAAAGGAGGGAUGAGUACCAACUAGAGAUGCCGAAUGUAUUUCUUUUUAAAAGUAUAAUCUCUGAGCUGGGGAUGUAGCUCAGGGCAGAGCACUUGCCUACCAUGCACAAGGCCCUAGGUUCCCUCCAUGCUCAGCAUAGCCAAACAAGUAAUCUCUGUGCCUUCCCGAGAAGAUAACUGUGGCAUCACUAACUCACAUGCCCUGUCUCCACCCUUUCUUAUUCCCCAGAAAGGUCACCAGACUCCCUGGGCUACAGGGGAAUCCCUGGUAUCCCAGAGCCUUGGCUGCUCAAGGGUAACAGCAGAUGCCAAGAGCUGACCUGAGUUGUUUCCUUGCAGGAUUCCCUGCCCCCACUCCAUCACCAAAUUUUUUCUACACAAAUUUCCAUGUCUCUUGCUGUCAGGUUAAGUUUCCACUGUGGAGAUGAAUGUGUUUGAGGACCCAGCCCCAGAAUCCCUUCAAGUACUAUACUUAGCUGUCUAAGCCCCUGUGUCCCUAGUUGCAGGUGUUUAUUAUUUACUUAACAUUUUAGCAGAAUAGAUCACCUGAUGUUUCCUCUCUCCUCUUUCAGUCCCUGCUGAAAAUUCACUUACCCCGAGCUCUUCCUAGUUACUCCACCUGCCUGCUCCUGAAUUCUACAAGUUGCUCAGGGGUCCUUUCACUCUCUGGAGUAGAUUUUGCUCCUGAGAAGUACAGAACUCAUCUUUUUAGCCCAAACCCUUGUCUUAUUCCUCAAAGUCUUUUGCCAGGCCACACUCCUUUCUCCAUGUCAAUGCAGAGCCACCUGUAUGAGAGAUUCUCCAGUGGAAUCCUUGGAAAUAUUAUCAUUACUUGGGGACUUCAGCAGUAACUCCCUGUGUGGUCCCUCAGGUUUCUUCUGGAAUCUCCCAAAGCAUUGCUCCACUUUUGCUAAGUGUAGUUCAGCCAGAAGUAUGAAUUUGGCUGCAUACAACUGCAAGUUUGGCUGGGUAGUUGUGAGAAGUCUGCUUCUCUCUGCCCCACUAAAGUUCUGACAUUUUCCCUACCUCUUCCCUAGGCAAGAGGAGAAGAAUCAGAAACUUGAAACCCAAGCAGGGAGAAGAAAGGUCAUCUCUCUAUAAAUAUCGUUUUCUGACCCCUCUGGCCAGCAGCCCCAGAGCCGUUUCUGUCCCUCAGCGGGGCCCUCUGGAAGAGGUGCUGGAGGAGAAGAGCUUUCAAUGGGCAAAGGAAAGGCAGGGAAGAUUUGGCUUUUAGUCUUUCCUUUGGGCUUGCCCAGAGACUGAGCUUGCUUGGCAUCUCGAUGGGCUUCUUGGUCUUCCAGAAGGAGCAUGAGGGUCAAGUGAGGUACUCUGGGCUUCCCACAGACUAAAACAGCCAUGUCCUGGAGGGAAUCCAGGAGAACAGAGGUAGGGGAGGUCUGACAUUUCUGCAGCAAGCUGGACAGCAUGGCCACCUCAGGUGAUUUUGUGGAAUCACAAGAUAGGUCAACACUAUUAUGCUCACUGGUGGAAGAAAGGACAUAGAGACACCUACCUUCUUAAUCACAAACGAUGUUUUCUAAAAACAUGAUAUGCCUAGGCAUUAUAUCUACUUACACCUUUUUUUUUUUUUUGAUCCCCAGCAGAUAAUUUCACUAUUAAAGGAGUGUGUGUGUGCAGGGGGUGCAUUCUAUCUGUGGUGUGUGCAUGUACAUGUGUGUUGGAGUGGUGUGACCAAGAGAUGAUGGUAAUAGAUCUCCCUCCCUCUUCGUUCAGUCCCUUCUUCAGGAACAGAAACCACCAUAUAUGAUUCCUGUUUCCUUCCUUCAGCUUCAGGCAGCACUUAAUUUAGGCAUCGUUUUCUCAUGUUUUCUGCAUACAAGGCCAUGGGCAUCAUAAUUAUCUAAGAGGAAAACCCAGAAUCCUAAUAUCCAGAAUUUGGAAGAUGGUCUGCUUGAAGGAGGGAGAAGAGCUGGAGGGGAGCAGACAGCCUCUGGGGAGACUCAGAAGAGACUUAACAAGGUGAAAACUGUUUCUCACUCAACCUUGGAAAAGGAUAGAUCUGCCUUAAAAUCUUCUACUCCAGAGAGAAACUCUAAGAAAGUGCCAGAGACAUAAACAUAGAGGAGAGACCUACUCAGAAGCAGAGCAGAGAGAUGAGGUAUACCCUGGAUUAGGAGGAAAAACAGUUCAUGUUCACAAUCCUAUCUCAGCCUCUGAUUCAUGUGAUCUUGGCUAAAUUGCAUCUCUGGGCCUCAGUUUUCCUCCCAUGACAUGGGCUAACUGCUGCUGUCACCUCCAGGAUGGUCAAAAGAAUCAAAGUGAAGGAUAAGGUUGGGGGGAUGGCAAAGACCACAGAGCACAGGUCACACAGGAUCUCAGUGGUGUGCUGGGGUUUGAACCUAGCCUUUUCCUCCUGCAUCUUAUGCUGCCUGGACCUCAGUAACAAGGAGAGCAGUGAACUGACAUUAACACAGCCCUGGUUGCUGGUCGGACAAUACCCUCAGCACCGGCACAUUAAUUCCUCCACUCUUCACAAGGAUGUUUGGGUCCCUACCCUACCAGGAUUCCUGAGGCCAGUUAGUGAGGAGGGGAAGAAGGAGCUGGGGCAGCUGGAGAGGCCCGACAGGAGCUCUUGCAGGGAGAGCAGUCUCUGGCAAGUAUUUGAUAUUGAGGGGUACGUGUGUGUGUCGGGGAUAUAGGGAUAGCGACACCACAUGACUGUGAGUGGGGAGAGAAAGCUAACAGAACUCUCCCAGCAUUUCUCUGUGGGCUCCUGUCCCUGAAGGAACUGGGUGAGACCCUGGAUAGUUGCAGCCAGCCACUCCCCGUCCCAUUUUUUUCCAUGAUUAUUUCAGAAAACAUUCAGGAGCUCUCUUGGUGGAUGAAAGGGAGGGGAUGAGGUCAGACCUGCCUGUUCCUUGGGCCUUGGCUAGAUGUGAAGCAGAGAGGCCAGGAAAAGGGCUAAUGGAAAAUAGAACCUCAGAGGAAAGUUUAAAUUCUCACUCUGAAAGAGGAUACCUUGGGGGUGCAUGGUUGGAGUCAGUGCUUUAUGUGCAGGGACAGCUGGAACCCCAACAGAGUGUUGCCCCAGAGACAGCUCGGGCAUGCCUGCCCCUUCGGUCACUACUGAGACAAGGUACACAAACAACAGGCUACGGGCACCAGACACCCCUGGCGGGCAAGAGUCUGCCCCCUCUGGAAACCACUUUGUUGACAUAAACACGGGGUGUCCAGGACUUUAAGCCACCUUGGCCAGGGACAGGGAAGAAGGCCAAGGGUCUCCCAGAAUCUGAGGCUGGGAUUGGCUAGGGCACCAGAAUCACAGGGUAGACCGGGUUUUUCAAUCUUCAGUAAAGGACACAGCGCUUGCCUUCCCUUGUAGAACACGCUGCCCUGGGAAAAUGGUGACACCCAGGACUCUAAUGCUGGUCAUGGUGAUCCUCCAUUCAGCAGCCACUCCUGGCUCUGCCCAGCUCCCUCAACAUUAUCUGGCUUGAGUCUUUGAAGAAAGUGGUCUGAUAAGAAUCUGCCCAUUAAGAAAUUGGCAAAGAGAGGAAGAGCAAAUUGUUGAGGAAAGAGAAGAGAGACGAAUAUAUUACUACCUGGCUUUGCUCUUUCACCUACCUCUCCCCACCUCUCCAGCCAUGAGGUGGGAGAUAUGCUCAGCCUUGUGAGGAGUCUGUCUCUCCCGCCUGCACAGAAUAAAUCAUAUUCAGACACCCA